AGUCAAAGUGACAGGACUGCAUCACUCUGCUCUGCACUGGGACAGCCUCACCUCCAGUCCUGUGUAUAGUGUUGGGUGCCACAGUACAAGAAAGGUAUAAAACUAUUAGAGAGCAUCCAAAGGAGUGUCAUCAGGAUGGUGAAGAGUCUACAGGGGAAGUCAUAAAAGAAGUGGCAGUCAUGUCAUUCUAAAAGAAAUGAAUUCCACAGAUCUGAGAGUCAUGUCAGAAUUCCACCCCGUACUUUACAAGCACACAUUGCUCAUCAGUACACGUCCAUGAACAAGCCACUAAGUCAUGAGGCUGGUGCAGAAGAUCCCUGCAGAGCCAUCCCACACCCUGGACUGGAGGAAGGAGGUGGAAUCACAAUUUUCUGACCACAAUUUUCUACCACAGAGUUACAUUUAUCCUUCAA